rnacentral:rRNA from 1 species
UACGUAGGGUGCAAGCGUUAUCCGGAAUUAUUGGGCGUAAAGAGCUCGUAGGCGGUUUGUCGCGUCUGCUGUGAAAACUGGGGGCUCAACCCCCAGCCUGCGGUGGGUACGGGCAGACUAGAGUGAUGUAGGGGAGACUGGAAUUCCUGGUGUAGCGGUGAAAUGCGCAGAUAUCAGGAGGAACACCGAUGGCGAAGGCAGCCCCUGGGCCAAUACUGACGCCUCAUGCACGAAAGCGUGGGGAGCAACAGG